ACCAGGCCUGGCACCACGCUGGGCAGCGGCUGUGCUGGGGCAGUGAGGCCUGAGGCUGGCCCUGCUGUGGGGGCGGGGUCUCCUGCUGCACUGACCUGUGUUGGGGUGCCUGUUGGCGGCUCAGAGAGAGCUGCUCGCUGGCUUUGGAGUAGGAACCCCCUCUCGCCCUUUGCUCAGCUGACAGACGCAGUGCAGUGAUCUGCCCAACACAAGCGGAGGGCCUGGCACCGCCUCUUCCUUGGGGGGGACACAGCCACACCUCAGCCGGCAAGGCACGUGGCGCUCCUGGGUGCUGUCAGUCAGAGGUGUGUCCCACGUGAGCCUGGAGGCCCCAGGGUGUCUGCCGCCAAGGGCUGUGUGUCCGCAGUCCACCCCUGGACUCAGCCUUUUGCAUGCCCGUCUUCUCCAAGGCACCCUGUGUCCCCCCUGCACUGAGGGGCCAGGGGGCACCCCAAGGGCUUCUGCAGCCCCACUGCUGCCUUGCUGAGGUGCUGGGGUAUGAUGGGAGGGCCUGCUGGGGAGAGCCCCACACACUGACCCGCCUCUGCCUCUGGGUUCUGUGAUCAGAUCAACUGUCAAAGACGGAAAAAGCAAACAGCCCGACUGAGAGAGGAGACGGUGCAGUGGGGAGGCCCCGAGCCAGGCCACCUGCGCUGGGAGAGGCUCCUGCCUGCCCACCCAGCACGGCCUCCCGGUCCAGUGUGGCUGGAGCGCCAAGGACGGUGCUGGUGACCACCUGGUAGGAGGGAAGGCCGCUGGGAAAGUCUCAUCCCAGAAGUGGCUGCUCGAUUUCUGCUCGGGUCACGUUGGCCAGAGCUGAGUCACAGGCAGGCCACUCCUGGCUUAGAGGCACUGUGUGCUGCCCAAGGCUGGGGAUCUGGCGACACUGGCAAUGGC